rnacentral:ncRNA from 3 species
UGUGAAGCAGAAUUCACCA